GUAAAUAGACGCACUUUCUGCUUCCAUUCAUAGCUCUCAACUGUUCUCUCACCUCGAUGAGGCCACAUAAAUCGUCUCUGCUUAGGAGGUCGGGAAAGGCUCAAAGGGAGGAAUUUUGACGGAGACCUCCAUUUAUCUCAGUAGAUGGCAGGGGAGACACAAAGAGAAGGGAGCAGGUGCUGGGCAUGCUGGAGAUGGGCAAGCUGCUUGGUUUGGUAUGUGGAGAUUGGAUGGCAAAUGUGAAGGUUAUCGGGAUGUAAUUGAAUUUCUCAGAUCCCCGAGGUACUUGUGUCCUGCGAGGUUACCUAGUCCCUCCAGGUCCGAGACAAAACAGAAAGUGUAUAAGAGCCCUACUUGUUGUUCUGGAAUGUGGUCUUGUUCAGCACGCCCCAAGGCUGGUGUAGACAGAUUCUCUCCAUCUACACUGUUGGCAAAGCAGCCGCCGGCCUGUUGUCUCAUUUAGCCUUGGCCCAGGGCCAGGGGGCAAACAGAGUGUGGAAGGAAAACAAGGCUGGAAGGUUUGUCAGCUAAAGACACUUAGAGCUUGCACAAACCGGUGCACCAGCCCUAACCUGGGAUACUUUCCGCUCUUCACCAAGGACUGGAUACAUUGGCUCUCCGAACAAAGGUUGACUUCUCUCUUGGGUCCUGUGCACAGUGCUGAAAUGAACGUGGGCAUGCAGACACCUCUAGGAGGCGCUACUUCAUGCUCCUUGGGUACACAGCCAACAGGACUGCUAGAGCACAGCACAAGCCCUUCACCCCCAGGACCCUGUCCCUGUGAAUGCCUCUCCAAGUUUCCUCUUUCCUGACUCUUGCUAUGAGCACAGGGCAUGGGAUCUGGCCUGGAACAGCCCAUGGGUUUGUAGGUUGCAUCAUUGGGUCUGAGGGGCAGAAGAGGAAAAGCUAUAGCUCCCUGUCCAUGGCAGUCACCUGCAGAGACGCUCUGCAGGGAUGCGGAAGGACAGCACAUCUGCCUUGGGUCCUGCAUCCUCUCCCCCGGAGGCAACCCUGCCCCACACUGACCUCUGAUGGCCCAGGAGCCCACGAGGACAACAUCAAAGAGAGGACGCACAUGCUCAAGAUUUCCUUGCUGUUUUUGGAUGACAAGUGUACUACUGGUUCCCCCAGGGAAACUGAGGCAGGAAGAGCAUCACACCAGGCUCUGUGUUGUACUCCAGGCAGGAAGGAGCUGAGCAGCUCUGGCUUGAGGAGCUGGUGCGAAGCAGGACGUGUAGAAGACUGGGUGUGCUCAGGAGUUGGGGGACCCAGGCAGCACCCGGAAAGACACCCAGCCCCCCACCUGUGCACUGGCAUGGUGGGAUCAGCUUCCAUGGCGUCACCCGCAGUGACUUCAGUGCCAACCUUCAGGCCCAAAUGCCUUCCUGUGUGCACCGAAGCACAAUUUACAAAUCUAUCCUCAAGACUCAAGGAGAAAGAAACUUCAUUAUUUUUAAGAAUGAGGAACUAAAGGCAAUUAAAAACGGGGGUGGGAGAGCUCGUCAAAUGUCAUUAGACUUCAUCAGAAGCAUUUCUCACCCUGACAAAAGAGAAAUAACAAAGAAUGUGCUCUCGUUAUUUUUCCAGAGGGAUGGUCUAUGUGCCGGUAGAGAAGGAAGUCAUAAAAGAUACCAGGGAAAUGCAGUAACUGGAUAUUUCAGGGCAUGGGAGUCGUAUUCUUUGGGGGCAGGGAAAACCGCAGCGGAACACUUUAGACGCCCUCCUUAAUUUUGAAAGAAAAGGAAAAUUAUUCGCGAUUUCAAUGGCAGCCCCAUCAUGGGCCUCCACCACUGCCUAGGCCAGGAAAUUAGUUGCCAUGGCAACUUCAGGUUGUAUCAUUAAGAAUUUUUAAAAUGUUGAGAGUCAGGAGGCAGGGCUUAAACACAGAAGGGAGAGGGAGAAGGAGGGAAGUGGAGUGGAGAAGGAAAGAAGUAAUCCAGGGCAAGUGGAGACUGCGGCCAAAAGAAGAAAUGUUUGCCCCACAAGUGUGUUUUCAUCUCUCCCCAGGUAACGGAAGGGAAGGGGAUCCCACCCUCACUCGGUUCUGCUUUGUUUCCUGUCCGAAUGUGAGCAGCUUUUCUCUUGUCCAUUAAAGAAGAAAACUUAGAAAGAUGAAGUAGACCCCAAGGAGCCGCCUUCAUUUGUUUUGUUUUGUCUUGUUUGCUCCAAGAUCAGCUUGGGCCUGGCGAGCCAUGCAGGAGUUGGAGAGGAGAGAGGAAGAAGAAUGAGGAAACCAGAAAAGAUGGAGAAGACACAGCUGCCUCUUACCUGUGGCUCAGGUGCAAUGCAAGUCACUUCCACUCCCACUGUGUCACUGGAGGUGGCCAAUGACACCUCUCCCUCCACUGAUGCCCAGAAGCCAGGAGCCCCAGGCCGGGCAGCUGUCCCAGACCUGAAGAAACACAGAAGCAUGGAGUCUGGUGAGUAGCUGGCCAUUUCUAUGACUGCUGGUCACAAGGAAACACAGCCCUGAGCCAGUCACCCACGCUCCAGGCCAGGGACUCAACUAGAGCAAAUGUGCUUUCCAAGUCACAUCCCCUGGGGUGCAUUUCGGCCCUGUCUUAGUUCAGAAAUGCUUGAUGGCUUCUGAAGCACAGAAACUGCCUUCUCAAGGUUCUGGAGGCCAGGAAGGCCAAGGCCAAGGUGCUGGCAGACCCAGUGCCUCCCAAGGGUCC
ensembl:lncRNA